rnacentral:sRNA from 1 species
CAGUUCUGGGAGCUGGUAGCUCACCUUGUAGUAGACUCUUCUCCACGCGCAAGAGAUAGAGCUGUCAGAGCAGUGGAAUUCUGGGGACUAAGCAGAGGAUCUA